GGUUAAGCUACUAAGAGCACACGGUGGAUGCCUAGGCGCUAGGAGCCGAUGAAGGACGUGGCGAACAACGAUAAAGCCUCGGGGAGCUGUAAGCAAGCUGUGAUCCGGGGAUGUCCGAAUGGGGAAACCUAACUGGAUUCAUCUCCAGUUACUCACACCUGAAUACAUAGGGUGUGCAGAGGCAGACGAGGGGAACUGAAACAUCUAAGUACCCUCAGGAAAAGAAAACAAGAGUGAUUCCGUCAGUAGCGGCGAGCGAACGCGGAACAGCCCAAACCAAGAAGCUUGCUUUUUGGGGUUGUGGGACGUCUCUUUGGAGUUACAAAGGAGUAUCGUAGUUGAAGAGGUCUGGAAAGGCCCGCGAAACAAGGUGAAAGCCCUGUAGAUGAAAUGAUGCUCUCUCCGAGACGGAUCCCGAGUAGUGCGGGGCACGUGAAACCCCGUAUGAAUCUGCCAGGACCAUCUGGUAAGGCUAAAUACUCCCUAGCGACCGAUAGUGAAGCAGUACCGUGAGGGAAAGGUGAAAAGGACCCCGGAAGGGGAGUGAAAUAGAACCUGAAACCGUGUGCUUACAAAAAGUCAGAGCCCUAUGAAUGGGUGAUGGCGUGCCUUUUGUAGAAUGAACCGGCGAGUUACGUUCCCGUGCAAGGUUAAGGUGAAAAGCCGGAGCCGCAGCGAAAGCGAGUCUGAAUAGGGCGACUAAGUACGUGGACGUAGACCCGAAACCAGGUGAUCUACCCCUGUCCAGGGUGAAGGUACGGUAACACGUACUGGAGGCCCGAACCCACGCACGUUGAAAAGUGCGGGGAUGAGGUGGGGGUAGCGGAGAAAUUCCAAUCGAACCUGGAGAUAGCUGGUUCUCCCCGAAAUAGCUUUAGGGCUAGCCUCGGAAGUUGAGUCGUGGAGGUAGAGCACUGAUUGGAUGCGGGGCCCGCAAGGGUUACCAAGUUCAGUCAAACUCCGAAUGCCACAGACUUUAUUCCGGGAGUCAGACAGUGAGUGCUAAGAUCCAUUGUCGAAAGGGAAACAGCCCAGACCAUCAGCUAAGGUCCCCAAGUGUGUGUUAAGUGGGAAAGGAUGUGAAGUUGCACAGACAACCAGGAUGUUGGCUUAGAAGCAGCCACCAUUGAAAGAGUGCGUAAUAGCUCACUGGUCGAGUGACUUUGCGCCGAAAAUGUAACGGGGCUAAACACACCACCGAAGCUAUGGCUUGAUACAUUAGUAUCAGGGGUAGGGGAGCGUUGAAUGAAGAUUGAAGGUGUACCGCAAGGAGCGCUGGACCUCAUUCAAGUGAGAAUGCCGGUAUGAGUAACGAAAAGAUCAGUGAGAAUCUGAUCCGCCGAAAACCCAAGGAUUCCUGAGGAAGGCUCGUCCUCUCAGGGUAAGUCGGGACCUAAGGCGAGGCCGAAAGGCGUAGUCGACGGACAACAGGUUGAAAUUCCUGUACCACCGAAAGCCGUUAUGAGCAAUGGGAUGACGCAGGAGGAUAGUGACGCGGACUGAUGGAUGUCCGUUCAAGCAGUGAGGCUGGUAUGUAGGCAAAUCCGCAUACCGCAAGGCCAGGCUGUGAUGAGGAGCGAAAAUUGUAGUAGCGAAGGUCAUGAUUUCACACUGCCAAGAAAAGUCUCUAGCCAGGAAGCAGGUGCCCGUACCGUAAACCGACACAGGUGGGUGAGAAGAGAAUUCUAAGGCGCGCGGAAGAACUCUCGUUAAGGAACUCGGCAAAAUGACCCCGUAACUUCGGGAGAAGGGGUGCCCCGGUAGUGUGAAUAGCACGAGGGGGCCGCAGUGAAAAGGCCCAAGCGACUGUUUAGCAAAAACACAGGUCUGUGCGAAGCCGCAAGGCGAAGUAUACGGGCUGACGCCUGCCCGGUGCUGGAAGGUUAAGGGGAGUGGUUAGCGCAAGCGAAGCUAUGAACCGAAGCCCCAGUAAACGGCGGCCGUAACUAUAACGGUCCUAAGGUAGCGAAAUUCCUUGUCAGGUAAAUUCUGACCCGCACGAAUGGCGUAACGAUUUGGGCGCUGUCUCAACGAGAGAUCCGGUGAAAUUUUAAUACCUGUGAAGAUGCAGGUUACCCGCGACAAGACGGAAAGACCCCAUGGAGCUUUACUGCAACUUGAUAUUGAACUGGGGUGCGAUUUGUACAGGAUAGGUGGGAGCCGUAGAAACCGGAGCGCAAGCUUCGGUUGAGGCGCCGUUGGGAUACCACCCUGAUCGCAUUUGAGUUCUAACCUCGUACCGUGAUCCGGUACAGGGACCGUGUCAGGUGGGCAGUUUGACUGGGGCGGUCGCCUCCUAAAGUGUAACGGAGGCGCCCUAAGGUUCCCUCAGAAUGGUUGGAAAUCAUUCGAAGAGUGUAAAGGCAUAAGGGAGCUUGACUGCGAGACAGACACGUCGAGCAGGGACGAAAGUCGGGCUUAGUGAUCCGGUGGUACCGCAUGGAAGGGCCAUCGCUCAACGGAUAAAAGCUACCCUGGGGAUAACAGGCUUAUCUCCCCCAAGAGUCCACAUCGACGGGGAGGUUUGGCACCUCGAUGUCGGCUCAUCGCAUCCUGGGGCUGAAGUAGGUCCCAAGGGUUGGGCUGUUCGCCCAUUAAAGCGGUACGCGAGCUGGGUUCAGAACGUCGUGAGACAGUUCGGUCCCUAUCUGUCGUGGGCGUAGGAAAUUUGAGAGGAGCUGUCCUUAGUACGAGAGGACCGGGAUGGACGCACCGCUGGUGUACCAGUUGUUCCGCCAGGAGCAUCGCUGGGUAGCUACGUGCGGAAGGGAUAAGCGCUGAAAGCAUCUAAGCGUGAAGCCCCCCUCAAGAUGAGAUUUCCCAGUAUGUAAGACCCCUUGUAGACGACGAGGUUGAUAGGUUGGGGGUGGAAGUGCCGCAAGGCAUGGAGCUGACCAAUACUAAUCGGUCGAGGGCUUAUCCAA
rfam:Paenibacillus sp. TI45-13ar contig00050, whole genome shotgun sequence.